UGCAGGGCAGAGGAGAGCCAUCACCAAGCCCAGCAGACUACCAUAGACAAGCACACAGAAAUGAGCAGACAAGGACUAUGGAAACCAGGGUUGAAAUAAGAGGGCUGAUACUAAAGGUUGUGGAAUGAAGAGUCAGACAGGAUUUGCACGGCUCCCUGAAUGUUGGGGCAGAACAUGUCAUCCAUGGAAAUUGACUUAUUUUGUUCUACAAGAUGGUUCCAGGAAGUGCCUGUGAACACUUUGGGAAGGCUCGAUGUCUCCGAAGGCAUCACGAGGCUUGGACAGACACAAGUGUGUACUGUGAAAGGACACUUCACAUCCCCAAAACACCAAGGCUUUCUGAAGGGGUCUUCAGUGUGGCUCUCCAGCAGCCCCUGCAUCAGAGUCUGUAAAAGGACUGGCUUUUACUCUGCUUAUCUUGCUGCCUUUAUUUAGCAAAUAGCAAAUCUUCUAAAGUGCUUCAUCCAUGACAGUGACUUUAUAUACUCUGUCUUGAGGCUAGAAGACAAAAAUUCUUCUUUUGUCUUUGUUUUAGGUGUGUGUGUGUUCCUUUUGUUUUUCUAUUUAACUUCUUUUGUGUGUUUAUAUGUGUGGUGAGUAUAUGUAUACACGCUUGCUUUUUGUGAACUAAGGUUCUUGUGUGUGUGUAACACAAGCAUGUGGAGACCUCAAGUUGAUGUCCAGCAUCUUUCUUGAUCGUGCUCCACUUUUUGAGGAUGCAAGAAGUCACAAGGAGGAAGCUGGGCACAUUGGCAGUCUCUGGAAUCCUCUGGUCUUCACCACUCUUGACUGGAGUCCUUUUGAAUAUCCUGAAAUACAAAUAUUGCAGUUAUUUAUUGCAGGCAUUUGCUAGCACAGUGGGAAGCUGACCAACAGCACAUGUACCCACUGCAUGAGAGAACUCAGGAUUUUUCAGGGCCUGAAAAACCCCUUUCCAUUUUAGCACUUCAGAAACCUAGGUUUAAAAAAAUAGGUUCUGGUUCAAAGUUCCACAGAUCAGCCUAGAACUAUGUGUGUCUGGCACAGUGUUCUUCAGGAUGCUUUAGAGGCAAAGGAAGAAAAGCAAAAGCCAAGAACCGUGUACAUUCAACAUAAUCAGCUGUGAUUGCUCUUGCCAACUUGCCUCUGAUGAACUGCAGACAGACGGCCAUCAUGUUCCUAGCCUUGUAUGAGUCACUGGGAAGGACUCUGAAGGUGGCUUGAUGGCUAAGGCAUAUAAAUGACCAUUGAAAAGGGAAAGAAAGGGGGCUGGUGAGAUGGCUCAGUGGGUAAGAGCACCCGACUGCUCUUCCGAAGGUCCAGAGUUCAAAUCCCAGCAACCACAUGGUGGCUCACAACCAUCUGUAACAAGAUCUGACUCCCUCUUCUGGAGUGUCUAAAGACAGCUACAGUGUACUUACAUAUAAUAAAUAAAUACAUCUAAAAAAAAAAAGAAAAGGG
rnacentral:lncRNA from 1 species